rnacentral:tRNA from 1 species
GCGGGAUUAGUACAAUGGCAGUAUGCGUCCUUCCCAAGGAUGAGACGCGAGUUCGAUUCUCGUAUCCCGCU